rnacentral:lncRNA from 1 species
UUUUUUUUUUUUUUUUGCAGGAUCAACCUCGAUUCCUCUUUUACAAUGGACCCCAAUCAUCUUACCGGACCGCACUCUGAUAGUGCACUUAUCUGAAUCCAAAUUUUUUUUUUUUUUUUUUGCAGGAUCAACCUCGAUUCCUCUUUUACAAUGGACCCCAAUCAUCUUACCGGACCGCACUCUGAUAGUGCACUUAUCUGAAUCCAAACCUCCAUUCGAA